GACGAACGCUGGCGGCGUGCUUAACACAUGCGAGUCGAACGGAAAGGCCCUGCUUUUGUGGGGUGCUCGAGUGGCGAACGGGUGAGUAACACGUGAGUAACCUGCCCUUGACUUUGGGAUAACUUCAGGAAACUGGGGCUAAUACCGGAUAGGAGCUCCCGCCGCAUGGUGGGGGUUGGAAAGUUUCGGCGGUUGGGGCUGGACUCGCGGCUUAUCGGCUCGUUGGUGGGGUAGUGGCUUACCAAGGCCGUGACGGGUAGCCGGCCGGGGAGGGUGACCGGCCACAUUGGGACGGAGAUACGGCCCAGACGCCUACGGGAGGCAGCAGUGGGUAAUGUUGCACAAUGGGCGGAAGCCUGAUGCAGCAACGCCGGGUGCGGGAUGACGGCCUUCGGGUUGGAAACCGCUUUCGCCUGUGACGAAUCGUGAGUGACGGUAAUGGGUAAAGAAGCACCGGCUAACUACGU
rnacentral:rRNA from 1 species